CGCCAGACUCCUACGGGAGGCAGCAGUGGGGAAUAUUGCACAAUGGGGGAAACCCUGAUGCAGCGACGCCGCGUGAGUGAAGAAGUAUUUCGGUAUGUAAAGCUCUAUCAGCAGGGAAGAAAAUGACGGUACCUGACUAAGAAGCCCCGGCUAGCUACGUGCCAGCAGCCGCGGUAAUACGUAGGGGGCAAGCGUUAUCCGGAUUUACUGGGUGUAAAGGGAGCGUAGACGGCAUGGCAAGUCAGAUGUGGAAGCCCGGGGCUCAACCCCGGGACUGCAUUUGAAACUGUCAGGCUGGAGUGCAGGAGAGGUAAGUGGAAUUCCUAGUGUAGCGGUGAAAUGCGUAGAUAUUAGGAGGAACACCAGUGGCGAAGGCGGCUUACUGGACUGUAACUGACGUUGAGGCUCGAAAGCGUGGGGAGCAAACAGGAUUAGAUACCCUUGUAUC
rnacentral:rRNA from 1 species